rnacentral:rRNA from 1 species
UACGGGAGGCAGCAGUGGGGAAUAUUGCACAAUGGGCGAAAGCCUGAUGCAGCUAUGCCGCGUGUAUGAAGAAGGCCUUAGGGUUGUAAAGUACUUUCAUCGGGGAGGAAAAAACAAAACUAAUAAUUUUAUUUCUUGACGUUACCCGAAAAAGAAGCACCGGCUAACUCCGUGCCAGCAGCCGCGGUAAUACGGAGGGUGCUAGCGUUAAUCAGAAUUACUGGGCGUAAAGAGCACGUAGGUGGUUUUUUUAAGUCAGAUGUGAAAUCCCUGGGCUUAACCUAGGAACUGCAUUUUGAAACUGAAAUACUAGAGUAUCGUAGAGGGAGGUAGAAUUCUAGGUGUAGCGGUGAAAUGCGUAGAUAUCUGGAGGAAUACCUGUGGCGAAAGCGGCCUCCUAAACGAAUACUGACACUGAGGUGCGAAAGCGUGGGGAGCGAAACAGGGAUUAGAUACCCGU